rnacentral:rRNA from 1 species
AGUGAACGCUGGCGGUAGGCCUAACACAUGCAAGUCGAACGGCAGCACAGUAAGAGCUUGCUCUUACGGGUGGCGAGUGGCGGACGGGUGAGGAAUACAUCGGAAUCUACUUUUUCGUGGGGGAUAACGUAGGGAAACUUACGCUAAUACCGCAUACGACCUACGGGUGAAAGCAGGGGAUCUUCGGACCUUGCGCGAUUGAAUGAGCCGAUGUCGGAUUAGCUAGUUGGCGGGGUAAAGGCCCACCAAGGCGACGAUCCGUAGCUGGUCUGAGAGGAUGAUCAGCCACACGGGACCUGAGACACGGUCCAGACUCCUACGGGAGGCAGCAGUGGGGAAUAUUGGACAAUGGGCGCAAGCCUGAUCCAGCCAUACCGCGUGGGUGAAGAAGGCCUUCGGGUUGUAAAGCCCUUUUGUUGGGAAAGAAAAGCAGCAGGUUAACACCCCGCUGUUCUGACGGUACCAAAAGAAUAAGCACCGGCUAACUUCGU